UGGUGCACUGCGUGAUCACACAAAAGUGCAUAGCGCGGUCAUGCAAUCAGCGCCAUUUGUGGCGGAGCUCCAUAGCCCACCUGCGCAUGUGCAAGGGAAUCCUUAAAAAGCCGGACACAGACUCCUCCCCUCUCUUCUCUCUGUUCCCUCCUCCCCCCGACUCUCCCCCCCCCCCCAAGCUUGGUUACUCUCUUCCAUCCCCCUCCUCCUAAUGAAGCUCUGACACUGGGUUUUGUCAUGUCUCAUGACCUUUUCACCCGGUAACAGCACCGCUAUAUAUUUAAAACAACAUUGGCGCCGUGAGGAGACAGGCUCUCCUGGCGCUCUGCGUCUGGGACCCUGUACCGAGGUUUAUUGGACCUACGCCUGCCCACUCUGCGGUUUUCAUUUGCCCAGCAGCCAGGACUGCUCCGCAUUGGAUCACCAUAGAGCUGGAGUCCAAGGACCAUCAAGUAUACCCAGGUGGUGAGGAACAGUAACAGUCAAAAGGUUAGCGAGCUCUGGAACCAGCUUGAAUCCACCUGGACAGCAACUUGUCAGACGACUCCCAAAGCAGCAGACGACCCCAGGACACCUGUCUACCUCCAAAGCCCCCUUCUCUACCCCCCUAAGAGUCAACCGAUGCCCACCAAGUCAGCUGGAAGCAGUUUUUCGGGAGAAAUGACGCCCCUAUUCCUUGUUCACCUGCUUUUUUUAUAAUAAGCAAAAAGCCUGGAAUGUUAGGAUUCUGCCACUCCAGCUGCAUGACUGCACACACGCAGUUCAGGAGCUAGACAAGGGGUCUUACGUCAUCAGUGCGCUGCAUGAUGGCACAAAUGCAUGCAGCACGGUCACACCAUCAGUGCAUGCCUGGCGUAGCUCCAUAGCCCACCUGCGCAUGUGCAGGGGGAUCCUUAAAAAAGCCGGACACAGACCCCUCUCCUCUCUUCUCUCCGUUCUCUCCCCCCUCCCCCCU